rnacentral:rRNA from 1 species
AUUGAACGCUGGCGGCAGGCUUAACACAUGCAAGUCGAGCGGGGUGAUGGUGCUUGCACUAUCACUUAGCGGCGGACGGGUGAGUAAUGCUUAGGAAUCUGCCUAUUAGUGGGGGACAACAUCUCGAAAGGGAUGCUAAUACCGCAUACGUCCUACGGGAGAAAGCAGGGGAUCACUUGUGACCUUGCGCUAAUAGAUGAGCCUAAGUCGGAUUAGCUAGUUGGUGGGGUAAAGGCCUACCAAGGCGACGAUCUGUAGCGGGUCUGUGAGGAUGUGCCGCAACACUGGACUGAGACACGGCCCAGACCCCUACGGGAGGCAGCAGUGGGGAAUAGUGGACAAUGGGGGGAACCCUGAUCCAGCCAUGCCGCGUGUGUGAAGAAGGCCUUAUGGUUGUAAAGCACUUUAAGCGAGGAGGAGGCUCUUUUGGUUAAUACCCAAGAUGAGUGGACGUUACUCGCAGAAUAAGCACCGGCUAACUCUGUGCCAGCCGCCGCCGUAA